GGUUGGAGUUGUAAAGCUUUCAAGAAUCGGGUCUCUUUGGGUCAGGAGGC
rnacentral:ncRNA from 2 species